UACGGGGGGAGCAAGCGUUGUUCGGAUUUACUGGGCGUAAAGGGCGCGUAGGCGGUCAGCGCAAGUCAGUUGUGAAAUCUCCGGGCUUAACCCGGAACGGUCAACUGAUACUGCGCGGCUAGAGUGCAGAAGGGGCAACUGGAAUUCUCGGUGUAGCGGUGAAAUGCGUAGAUAUCGAGAGGAACACCUGCGGCGAAGGCGGGUUGCUGGGCUGACACUGACGCUGAGGCGCGAAAGCUAGGGGAGCGAACGGG
rnacentral:rRNA from 1 species